UAGUGGCGGACGGGUGAGGAAUACGUAGGAAUUUGCCCUUAAGUGGGGGAUAGUCCGGGGAAACUCGGUUUAAUACCGCAUGAUCUGUAAGAGCAAAGCAGGGGACCGCAAGGCCUUGCGCUUUUGGAGAAGCCUACGUCGGAUUAGCUAGUUGGCGGGGUAACGGCCCACCAAGGCAACGAUCCGUAGCUGGUCUGAGAGGACGAUCAGCCACACCGGAACUGAGACACGGUCCGGACUCCUACGGGAGGCAGCAGUGGGGAAUAUUGGACAAUGGGCGCAAGCCUGAUCCAGCAAUGCCGCGUGUGUGAAGAAGGCCUUCGGGUUGUAAAGCACUUUAGGCUGGGAAGAAAAAGCUUCACCUAAUACGUGGAGCCUUGACGGUACCGGCGAAAUAAGCACCGGCUAACUCUGUGCCAGCAGCCGCGGUAAUACAGAGGGUGCUAGCGUUAAUCGGAAUUACUGGGCGUAAAGCGUGCGUAGGCGGUUUCGCAAGUCCGCUGUGAAAGCCCCGGGCUUAACCUGGGAAUGGCAGUGGAAACUAUGGGACUUGAAUCUGGCAGAGGGGGGUGGAAUGCCACGUGUAGCAGUGAAAUGCGUAGAGAUGUGGCGGAACACCGAUGGCGAAGGCAGCCCCCUGGGCCAAGAU
rnacentral:rRNA from 1 species